CCUACGGGAGGCAGCAGUGGGGGAUAUUGCACAAUGUGGGAAACCCUGAUGCAGCGACGCCGCGUGGGCGAAGAAGUAUUUCGGUAUGUAAAGACCUAUCAGCAGGGAAGAAAAAAUGACGGUACCUGAGUAAAAAGCACCGGCUAAAUACGUGCCAGCAGCCGCGGUAAUACGUAUGGUGCAAGCGUUAUCCGGCUUUACGGGGUGUAAAGGGAGCGCAGGCGGCACGGCAAGCCUGAUGUGAAAGCCCGGGGCGCAACCGCGGGACUGCAUUGGGAACUACCGGGCUGGAGUGCCGGAGAGGUAGGCGGAAUUCCUAGUGUAGCGGUGAAAUGCGUAGAUAUUAGGAGGAACACCAGUGGCGAAGGCGGCCUACUGGACGGUGACUGACGCUGAGGCUCGAAAGCGUGGGGAGCAAACAGGAUUAGAUACCCCUGUAGUC
rnacentral:rRNA from 1 species